rnacentral:lncRNA from 1 species
UGGAAUCCCGAGCUUCCAACCGAUUCUCAUUUGCUCCUAUAUUUGUUUUGUGCUUUCCUGGAACACCCAAAGUGGAUGUUACAUGUCGAUCCUACAGCUUAUUCUGGAAUCCAGUCUAGCAAAAAUCCGUUGUUUUUGGGCGUUUUACCUCCUAAAGAAAGGUUCCCUGAAAAGUAUGUAGCUGUUGUGUCCGGCGUUCCCUCUGUGCUACAUCCAGGAGCUUGUUUGAACAUCUGGGGAUCUAUCCACAGAUCGAGUUGUGGCGUGACAGACUCAGGCAAUGGUUUUCAUCCAUGCUGCUAAAGCCUUUGCUUAACAAAAUUGAUACUAGUCACACGAAGGUGUAUUCUCGCUCCGACUUUUAUGUCUAGAAACUUUGUUCGUUUGCUCCUUUUUUUUCCUUUCGAUUGUUUGCGAAAGCUUGAAAAAAAAAAAGAUGGAGGAAUUUUUAUUUAUUAAAUAAUCAAAUAAGGAUGGAUAGUCAAAUUUACGUGAAUCAAGCAAUACUAGAAAAGUGUAAGCUCCUUUGUGUCUUUAUUAACCAUUUCAUGCUUAAUGGUGCGCUCAGGUUAUGCUAGCUGCUGGCAAACUGGGCCUUACAAUCACUGUCAGUCAAAUUGGAAAUGGAACACCGGAUACUGGGACUGCUGCUAUAUCUACUACUGAGAUGACGAAUGAGUGGAAACCCUCAUUUUCUGUUGACGAAGAUGGAUUACUUCACCAGUUGCGUUUAAGUCUUGUCCAGGCUCUUGAUUCUUGCAUGCGUAAGUCCCUUCAUCCCUUUAAGAUUAUGAGUCUUGCAAUUCAUUAUUUGAGUUCUUUCAUUGUUGGACGUGUCGAUGUAAUAAUUCUAAAGUAUCUUGUCAAUGCUUCUUUAGUUGCAGCAAGGUCAACUUCUGGAGGUCUUCAACCGUCCUCGCCACAAAACUCUAUGAUCCCUAUUAUACAAGAGUGCAUUGAUGCCAUCACUGAACACCAAAGACUUCAAUCAUUAAUGAAAGGAGAAUGGGGCAAGGGAUUGCUGCCACAAAGCGGUGUGCGUGCAGAAUAUACAGUACAGAGGAUUCGAGGUAGUUUGACUCUCGACUUUAUCUUGCGUGUCACUCUUGAAUCUCCAUUUACGUUUUUGGUGCAGAGAUGAGAGAUGAAGUAUGCUGAUUCUAUCAAUAUUGCACUACUAAUCUAGCUUCAAUUUCUUUGCAGAGCUUGCUGUAGGAACGUGUUUGAGGAACUACGAUUAUUUGGGCAGUGUAGAGGGUUAUGAGAAAGGAAACAAGAAAUGGAAUCCCGAGCUUCCAACCGAUUCUCAUUUGCUCCUAUAUUUGUUUUGUGCUUUCCUGGAACACCCAAAGUGGAUGUUACAUGUCGAUCCUACAGCUUAUUCUGGAAUCCAGUCUAGCAAAAAUCCGUUGUUUUUGGGCGUUUUACCUCCUAAAGAAAGGUUCCCUGAAAAGUAUGUAGCUGUUGUGUCCGGCGUUCCCUCUGUGCUACAUCCAGGAGCUUGCAUAUUGGCUGUCGGAAAGCAAAGUCCCCCAGUUUUUGCGCUAUACUGGGAUAAGAUGCCUCAGUUUUCUC